AUUUAGAAUACUGGGCGGGGUAUUGAUUAAAAGUUGCGAAAUUUAUAAUAAUCUGCCAUAUUUUCAUCUUUUUAAUGCCCAACUUUACAGCAUAAUCAAAUAAAGUUCAGUACUUUAGUGCGAUAUGGAGGUUUGUUGUUCGUUUAAGACGAUAAUUGGGGGAAUAUGUGGUUCAGAUAGCCGAGAUAAAAAAGAAGAAGUGACAGUCAUUCCACUAGUUUCCUGUUCAAGAGAUAUAGCAAAACAUUUGGGAUUAUUGGCGUUUUCUGGACCGGAAAGUGAGGUAGAUUUGAUCUUGUCUCGAGCUGCGAUAUUUAAGAUACCACAGGAUAUAAACGACAUGACAAUAUGCCCAUUCCAUCGCGGGAAACUUGGUUUAGGAUGGACAAGAGGAGCUAGUAUAAGAUGCAGAGUUCCACCUGUUUUGUCACAGCACGGUAACAAAACUAAGAAAAGUUGGCCCAAG